UUACUAAAAAAUGGUAACAUUAAAAUUGAUUAUAUCGUUCCACCUGCCGACGAACUAAAGCGUCGCGCAUACUGCAAGUGGCACAACUCAUUUUCCCAUGCCACUAAUGAUUGUAAUGUGUUCCGACGACAAAUUCAAUCGGCCAUUAAUGAGGGACGAUUGAAAUUUCAGGAGGACACGGAGCCCUUCCCAAUGAAUGUGAUCGACUUUAAUGGCAAAAAGGUCCUAAUUCGGCCCAACACAGCCGAUAAGGGCAAAGACAAAGAAGUCAUCAUCGGCAACGCACGGGAGGCCGAUGGGAACAACAAAAUUUCUUGCAGGAAAGUGAUGGCCGAGAAGACUCCUGAUGGAGGGGAGACACUGAAGGUAACCAUCACAAACUCCAGCGCUGGGGGGCAAGCACAGACAAGGGGAUAUGCGCGAGAACCCAUACUACGCAUCGCGGACGGUCCGGUGUCCAGGCGCGGACGGUCCGUAACAUCACCGGACGGUCCGGAGCGUUCCAGCGGACGGUCCGGCAACGCCGAAGAGCCGCGACGACCACGUACCUUCAAACCACGACGACCAGAAAUAGGUACGUGGAAAACUAACACGUUCAAGGCAACUGGUCGGUUGGUAAAAUCUAGCCCAACCUUUGAUCAAUUAUUGUCUAAAUAUGUGAAAAAGAAGGCUGGCCCCAGCGACCGGCCACCAAAGGGACCACGCUUACCCACCCAGGUGCGACGGCAGGUUAGGCCGAUUGGACCACCACACCAAUCGGAAAGGACGGGAGGUCAUAAUGUUCAAUUAAGACCUAACAUACCUGCAUGGACACCUCCACCACCAUAUCCACCUAUGCCAUAUUCAUACACAUACAUACCUCCACCAUACGUCCCAAAUCAAAUGUGGGGCAUGCCACCAUACCUAUUUGGGAUGCCACAGUACCCCGCUUGGGGGGCACCCCAAACAUCUGUAUUCAAUAGGUUGACACCUCCAGUACAAGACCGAUUGAGAGCCCCUCAAUCUGGUCCACGAGCACAGGCCCAGCAAGAUUGCCGAACAAUUCGGCCACAAAGGCUGACUAAUCCGGCAGGGGGGCAUACAGCUACAACCUCCAACAAUACGAAAAAGGGAGACGUCAUUAAAUAGGAACGACAGAUGUCAUCGUACAACAAAAUAACGAAGGGCCGAUGAUUUUUGGUGAAUCGGCCAACACAAACAAAAAAGAAAGUACGACUGUCAAUAAAAUAGCCGAUCCAAAAUACUCCAUGCCCCGAUGGUGCCCAUCGGGAUUGACACGAUCGCAAAAGCGAAAAUUACAACGCCUUAGAGCAAAGGAGAAUCAGGAGAAGGAGGCGGAAAAAAUAUUCAAUGACACACAUCCGCAGUAUCCGCCACCACAAAAGAGAUGGAGACCAAAGGCCGUUGAGGAAAAUCAAACGGCCAUAAAGACAGAAAAUAAAACAGCAACUGUGCAGCUCUUUGCAGGUAUAGCAGACAGUCCGGCUAUAAAGACCAGACCAACCAUACAGGACGCGGACCAUCUAACCCCUGAGGCCGAACCAUCCGCACUACACCAAGACACCACCAACGAUGUACCGACACCCAUGGAGGAAGAUGACCUACAAGGGGAAGACCUGGUCGACUACGAAGCUACGCCAGAACACUUGGAAAAUUAGAAAAAGUAAGGUGACAGAUUGGUCAGGAUCGCUAUGACGCUCGACGGUGUUGGGACUGACAGUUCGAUCAAAGCUAAAAGAGUCACGUCCGUUGAGUCAACCAUCGGGACUAAGGCCACUACGUAUCAUCCUAGCAAGUGUCAAGAUGCCUAAGAAAACUGAUGAGAUCACAUCGAGUUAGUUGCUUUUGGUUCGCUCAGCUCCACCAAAAGGCAGGGGGGCAUAUGUUUGACACCAAAAUGAGCCGGCGGACUGUCCGGCCCUGAGGCCGGACGGUCCGCGGUCCGGACAGUCCGCGCCUGUGGGCCGGACGGUCCGCGCAUGCGCAGAGCAGUUUAGGGUUCCGAGUUUUGUGCUACGAUUGUUAGCUAUAUUCGCGGGAUUAGCUCGGAAUCAGUUGUGUAAAGGGUCCAGCCCCCCCUCUAUAAAUAGAGAGGUCUACGGCCGAUUUGUAAUCAACAAUCGAAUCAAUACAACUUCUAUUUCACAUUUUAUCCUAGGAGUAGUUCUAGUCUAGUUUAGGUUUAGCCUUCCAAUCCCCAAUUCUUCGUCUCUCUUUGACUCUACGUCGAUUAGAGGAGUCUAGGUCGGCCGGCCCGAGCCUAGACACCACCUAGGAUCUCUCCUCCCCAACGGGGUCCCUCCCGGGAGCGAGAUCCAGGCGCCGUCGGCGGUCUUCCGCCGCCCCUGCGCACGCGCGGACCGUCCGGCCCUAGGGCGCGGACCGUCCGGCCGUCAGGCAGGGAACUCGGGCUCCUGCACCAGGUCGCAGACCGUCCAGCCCUGUGCCGCGGACCGUCCGCGCCUGACCAGAAAGCGCCGCCGCCUCGCACCAGGCCGCGGACCGUCCGGCCCCCGCGCGCGGACCGUUCGCCCCUGUGCAGAGAGCACCGCCGCUGGUUCUCUUGAGUAAUUGGCGCCUCCAAAAAGGCGUCAACAAGAACAAAGGUCGUGCUCCUGCCCUUCUUCUAGAGCUAAGGUUUCGUAGGUCACUAGUACAUCAAACAUUUGCUUUGCUAAGAAGUGUCAUGUUCUUGUUAUCAUUAUUUUAUGUGAUUUAUGAAGUGCUUGUACCAUUAUUUAUGCAUAAAAUAUCAAAACAUAAGUGUAAAUGAAUUUGUGAAAAAGGGAAAAAUGGGGAAAAAAGAAAAGCUUUUCUAGGAUAAGUAGGCCGAAGGGGGGUGAUUUUGGCCCAACUGGGUGCAGGCACGCACGGGCAUGGCCCAGUCGGCCCAAGAGCGAGGAAACGACGCAGGGACGAUGUUGUGGGGUGGGCCCACACGCUAAAGAGAGAGAGAGGGCGACGAUGUCAGGGAGACAAACUAACUGGUUGAGGCCGAGGGAUAACUGUCCGUGAGUCCAUCAACUGGUUCGACGGUGGAUCUCUGUCGGUGGUUUGGUUCCUUGGGAUUGGGACUCGGGACUCAUGUAGGGUUGGGCGAACAUGACAGUGGGGUCAAUUUGGUCGGUGGAGGUCAAGAGCGAGUUAUCCACGACUAGAGAUAGCAAUGGGACCCGAUCCCCGAUUCCUUGCGGGGAAUUCCUCCACUAGGGGAUGGAGAUGGGGAAGGUUCUUCCUCCGCGGGGAUGUAAACGAGGAAAAAUCCUCCCCCGAUGGGGAAGGGGAUGGGGAAACAUUCCACAUCCCCGUUCCCUGCGGGGACCCGUUAAACUUAUAUAUGAUGAUGUUUUCAUGUAAUAUAUAAUUGUCGACGUUUCGGACCUGGGGGUCCUCUGAACCAACUAGUAAAUUUGUCGUCGUUGCGUGUCCCAGCCCAAAUGGGUUGGCGCUGAUAGUCGCCUAGAGGGGGGUGAAUAGGGCGAAACUGAAAUUUACAAAAAUAAUCACAACUACAAGCCGGGGUUAGCGUUAGUAAUAAUAAAUGAGUCCGCAAGAGAGGGCGCAAAACAAAUCGCAAGUAAAUAAGGAGCGUGACACGUGGAUUUGUUUUACCGAGGUUCGGUUCUUGCAAACCUACUCCCCGUUGAGGAGGCCACAAAGGCCGGGUCUCUUUCAACCCUUCCCUCUCUCAAACGGUCCCUCCGACCGAGUGAGCUUUCCUUCUUCUCAAUCAACCGGGAACAAAACUUCCCCGCAAGGGCCACCACACAAUCGGUGCCUCUUGCCUUGGUUACAAUUGAGUGUUGAUCACAAGAGCACAAGAGAAAGAAAGAAUGCGAUCCAAGCGCAAGAGCUCAAAAGAACACGGCAAAUCUCUCUCGCUAGUCACUAGGGUUUUGUGUGGAAUUGGAGAGGAUUUGAUCUCUUUGAAUGUGUCUAGAAUUGAAUGCCUAGCUCUUGUAAGUAGUUGAGAAGUGGAAAACUUGGAUGGCUAUGAAUGUGGGAUGGUUGGGGUAUUUAUAGCCCCAACCACCAAAUGUGGCCGUUGGGGAGCCAGUCUGCUCGAUGGCGCACCGGACAGUCCGGUGCACACCGGACAUGUCCGGUGCCCCUGCCACGUCAUCAGUGCCGUUGGAAUCUGACCGUUGGAGUUCUGACUUGUGGGCCACCCCUGAUGUCCGGUGGCGCACCGGACAGCUCCUGUUCAUUGUCCGGUGCGCCAGUAUGGGCAAACCUGACGUCUGCGCGCGCUGCGGCGCAUUUAAUGCCUCUGCAGGUAGCCGUUGGCGCGGGAUAGCCGUUGUGCUGGAGUCACACCGGACAGUCCGGUGCACACCGGACAUGUCCGGUGAAUUAUAGCGGACGAGCCGUUGGCUUUUCCCGAAGCUGAAGAGUUCCUGAGGCCGCUUCUCCAUGGCGCACCGGACACUGUCCGGUGUACACCGGACAGUCCGGUGAAUUAUAGCGCGAGAGCCCCUGGAAAUUCCCGAAGGUGGCGAGUUCGAGCUGGAGUCCCCUGGUGCACCGGACACUGUCCGGUGGUGCACCGGACACUGUCCGGUGGCACACCGGACUGUCCGGUGCGCCCAGACCAGAGGGCCUACGGUUGGCUCUUUGCCCUUUUGUUGAACCCAACACUUGGUCAUUUUAUUGGCUAUGUUGUGAACCUUUGACACCUGUAUAACUUAUACACUAGAACAAACUAGUUAGUCCAAAGAUUUGUGUUGGGCAAUUCAACCACCAAAAUUAUUUAGGAAGUAGGUGUAAGCCUAAUUCCCUUUCAAUCUCCCCCUUUUUGGUGAUUGAUGCCAACACAAACCAAAGCAAAUGUAGAAAUACAUAAUUGAACUAGUUUGCAUAAUGUAAGUGAAAAGGUUACUUGUAAUUGAGCCAAUAUAACUACUUACAAGAUAUGCAUGGAAUGUUUCUUUCUUAUUUAACAUUUUGGACCACGUUUGCACCACAUGUUUUGUUUUUGCAAAUUCUUUUUGUAAAUCCAUUUCAAAAGAUCUUUUGCAAACAGUCAAAGGUACAUAAAUAAGAGUUUGCAAAAGCAUUUUCAAGAUUUGAAAUUUUUCUCCCCCUGUUUCAAAUGCUUUUCCUUUGACUAAACAAAACUCCCCCUAAAAGAGAUCCACCUCUUAGUGUUCAAGAGGGUUUUGAUAUACCAUUUCUGAAAUACUACUUUCUCCCCCUUUUGAACACAAUAGGAUACCAAAUGAUAAAGACUUUUGGAAAGCACUAAGUUUUAAUUUGGUGGUGGUGGUGGUGCGGUCCUUUUGCUUUGGGCUCAUUUCUCCCCCUUUUUGGCAUAAAUCGCCAAAAACGGAGUCAUUAGAGCCCUCCAAGUAAGUUCCUCCCCUUUGGUUAUAAGUAAAUGAGUUAAGAUUAUACCAAAGACGAAGUCCUUUUCCUUGAUGCUCAUUUCUCCCCAAAGACGAGAGAGUUGCUCGGAGUGAUGGCGAAGCAUGAGUUACGGAGUGGAAGCCUUUGUCUUCGCCGAUGACUCCAAUUCCCUUUCAAUAUACCUAUGACUUGGUUUGAAAUCGACUUGAAAACACAUUAGUCAUAGCAUAUAAAAGAGAUAUGAUCAAAGGUAUUCAAAAGAGCUAUGUGUGCAAGCUUAGCAAAAGAAGUUUCUAGAAUCAAGAAUAUUGAGCUCAUGCCUAAGUCUGGUAAAAGAUUGUUCAUCAAGUGGCUUGGUAAAGAUAUCGGCUAAUUGAUCUUUAGUAUUAAUGUAAGAAAUCUCGAUAUCCCCCUUUUGUUGGUGAUCCCUAAGAAAAUGAUACCGAAUGGCUAUGUGCUUAGUGCGGCUAUGCUCGACGGGAUUGUCGGCCAUCUUAAUUGCACUCUCAUUAUCACAUAGCAAAGGGACUUUGGUUAAUUUGUAACCGUAGUCCCGCAGGGUUUGCCUCAUCCAAAGCAAUUGCGCGCAACAAUGUCCUGCGGCAAUGUACUCGGCUUCGGCGGUGGAAAGAGCGACGGAAUUUUGCUUCUUUGAAGCCCAAGACACCAAGGAUCUUCCCAAGAACUGGCAAGUCCCCGAUGUGCUCUUCCUAUUGAUUUUGCACCCUGCCCAAUCGGCAUCCGAAUAACCAAUCAAAUCAAACGUGGAUCCCCGAGGGUACCAAAGCCCAAACUUAGGUGUAUAAGCCAAAUAUCUCAAGAUUCGUUUUACGGCCGUAAGGUGGGAUUCCUUAGGGUCGGAUUGGAAUCUUGCACACAUGCAAACGGAAAGCAUAAUGUCCGGCCGAGAUGCACAUAAAUAAAGCAAUGAACCAAUCAUCGACCGGUAUACCUUUUGAUCCACGGACUUACCUCCCGUGUCGAGGUCGAGAUGCCCAUUAGUUCCCAUGGGUGUCUUGAUGGGUUUGGCAUCCUUCAUCCCAAACUUAGCAAGAAUGUCUUGAGUGUACUUCGUUUGGCUAAUGAAGGUGCCCUCUUGGAGUUGCUUGACUUGGAAUCCUAGAAAAUACUUCAACUCCCCCAUCAUUGACAUCUCGAAUUUCUGUGUCAUGAUCCUACUAAACUCUUCACAUGUAGACUUGUUAGUAGACCCAAAUAUAAUAUCAUCAACAUAAAUUUGGCAUACAAACAAGUCAUUUUCAAGAGUUUUAGUAAAGAGUGUAGGAUCGGCCUUGCCGACUUUGAAGCCAUUAGCAAUAAGGAAAUCUCUAAGGCAUUCAUACCAUGCUCUUGGGGCUUGCUUGAGCCCAUAAAGCGCCUUAGAGAGCCUAUAGACAUGAUUAGGAUACUCACUGUCUUCAAAGCCGGGAGGUUGCUCAACAUAGACCUCUUCCUUGAUUGGUCCGUUGAGGAAGGCACUUUUCACGUCCAUUUGAUAGAGCUUAAAGCCAUGGUAAGUAGCAUAGGCCAAUAAUAUGCGAAUUGACUCAAGCCUAGCUACGGGUGCAUAGGUUUCAUCGAAAUCCAAACCUUCGACUUGUGAAUACCCUUUGGCUACGAGUCGAGCUUUGUUCCUUGUCACCACACCAUGCUCAUCUUGCUUGUUGCGGAAGACCCAUUUGGUUCCUACAACAUUUUGGUUAGGACGUGGAACUAAAUGCCAUACCUCGUUCCUCGUGAAAUUGUUGAGCUCCUCUUGCAUCGCCACCACCCAAUCCGAAUCUUGGAGAGCUUCCUCUACCCUGUGUGGCUCAAUGGAGGAAACAAAAGAGUAAUGUUCACAAAAAUGAGCAACCCGAGAUCGAGUAGUUACCCCCUUAUGAAUGUCGCCGAGGAUGGUGUCGACGGGGUGAUCUCGUUGGAUUGCUUGGUGGACUCUUGGGUGUGGCGGUCUUGGUUCUUCCUCAUCCUCCUUUUCUUGAUCAUUUGUAUCUCCCCCUUGAUCAUUGCUAUCAUCUUGAGGUGGCUCGUCUUCUUGAUUUUGCUCUUCAUCAUUUUGAGCCUCAUCCUCAUUUUGAGUUGGUGGAGAUGCUUGCAUGGAGGAGGAUGGUUGAUCUUGUGUACUUGGAGGCUCUUCGGAUUCCUUAGGACACACAUCCCCGAUGGACAUGUUCCUUAGCGCGAUGCAUGGAGCCUGUUCUUCACCUAUCUCAUCAAGAUCAAUUUGCUCUACUUGAGAGCCGUUAGUUUCAUCAAACACAACGUCACAUGAGACUUCAACUAGUCCAGUGGACUUGUUAAAGACCCUAUAUGCCCUUGUGUUUGAGUCAUAACCAAGUAAAAAGCCUUCUACAGUUUUAGGAGCAAAUUUAGAUUUUCUACCUCUUUUAACAAGAAUGAAGCAUUUGCUACCAAAAACUCUAAAAUAUGAAAUGUUGGGCUUUUUACCGGUUAGGAGUUCAUAUGAUGUCUUCUUGAGGAUUCGGUGAAGAUAUAACCGGUUGAUGGCGUAGCAGGCGGUGUUGACCGCUUCGGCCCAAAACCGGUCCGGUGUCUUGUACUCAUCAAGCAUGGUUCUUGCCAUGUCCAGUAGAGUUCGAUUCUUCCUCUCCACUACACCGUUUUGUUGUGGCGUGUAGGGAGAAGAGAACUCAUGCUUGAUGCCCUCCUCCUCAAGGAAGCUUUCAAUUUGAGAGUUCUUGAACUCCGUCCCAUUGUCGCUUCUUAUUUUCUUAAUCCUUAAGCCGAACUCAUUUUGAGCCCGUCUCAGAAAUCCUUUUAAAGUUUCUUGGGUUUGAGAUUUUUCCUGUAAAAAGAAUACCCAAGUGAAGCGAGAAUAAUCAUCCACAAUAACUAGACAGUACUUACUCCCGCCGAUGCUUAUGUAAGCGAUCGGGCCGAAUAGAUCCAUGUGUAGGAGCUCCAGUGGCCUGUCAGUCGUCAUUAUGUUCUUGUGAGGAUGAUGAGUGCCAACUUGCUUCCCUGCUUGGCAUGCGCUACAAAUUCUGUCUUUCUCAAAAUGAACAUUUGUUAGUCCUAAAAUGUGCUCUCCCUUUAGAAGCUUAUGAAGAUUCUUCAUCCCAACAUGGGCUAGUCGGCGGUGCCAGAGCCAACCCAUGUUAGUCUUAGCAAUUAAACAUGUGUCGAGCUCAGCUUUAUCAAAAUCUACUAAGUAUAGCUGACCCUCUAACACACCCUUAAAUGCUAUUGAAUCAUUACUUCUUCUAAAGACAGUGACACCCAUAUCAGUAAAAAGACAGUUGUAGCCCAUUUGACAUAAUUGGGAAACAGAAAGCAAGUUGUAAUCUAAUGAAUCAACAAGAAAAACAUUGGAAAUGGAAUGGUCAGGUGAAAUAGCAAUUUUACCCAAACCUUUGACCAAACCUUGAUUUCCAUCCCCGAAUGUGAUAGCUCGUUGGGGAUCUUUGUUUUUCUCAUAUGAGGAGAACAUCCUUUUCUCCCCGGUCAUGUGGUUUGUGCACCCGCUGUCGAGUAUCCAACUUGAGCCCCCGGAUGCAUAAACCUACAAAACAAAUUUAGUUCUUGACUUUAGGUACCCAAACUGUUUUGGGUCCUUUGGCAUUAGAUACAAGAACUUUGGGUACCCAAACACAAGUCUUGGAGCCCUUGUGUCUGCCCCCAACAAUUUUGGCAACUACCUUGCCAGAUUUGCUAGUCAACACAUAAGAUGCAUCAAAAGUUUUAAAUGAAAUGGCAUGAUCAUUUGAUGCAUUAAUAGUUUUCUUUCUAGGCAACUUGGCAUGGGUUGGUUGCCUAGAUCUAGAUGUCUCACCCUUAUACAUAAAAGCAUAAUUAGGGCCAGAGUGAGACUUCCUGGAAUGAAUUUUCUUAAUCUUAUUCUCAGGAUACCCGGCAGGGUACAAAAUGUAACCCUCGUUAUCCUGAGGCAUGGGAGCCUUACCCUUAACAAAGUUAGACAAGUUCUUAGGAGGGGCAUUAAUUUUGACAUUGUCUCCCCUUUGAAAGCCAAUGCCGUCCUUAAUGCCCGGGCGUCUCCCAUUAUAGAGCAUGCUUCUAGCCAAUUUAAAUUUUUCAUUUUCUAAGUCAUGCUCUCUAAUUUUAGCAUUAAGUUGUGCUAUGUGAUCAUUUUGUUUUUCAAUUAAGGCAAGGUGAUCAUGGAUAGCAUCAAUAUUAAUAUCUCUACAUCUAGUGCAAAUGGACACAUGCUCAAUAGUAGAUGUAGAGGGUUUGCAAGACUUUAAUUCAAUAACCUUAGCAUGCAACAAAUCAUUCUUAGUUUUAAGGUCAGAAAUAGUAGUAUUGCAAACAUCAAAAUCCUUAGCCUUAGAAAUUAAUUUCUCAUUCUCAUUUCUAAGGCUAGUGAUAGAAGCAUUCAAUUCAUCAAUCCUAGCAAGCAAAUCAACAUCAUCAUUUCUAGGAUCAAUGCAAACAUGAGAAUCAACCUUAGCCAACAAAUUAGCAUUUUCAUUUCUAAGGUUGUCUAAAAUCUCAUGGCAAGUGCUUAGCUCACUAGAUAAUUUUUCACAUUUUUCUCUUUCUAGAGCAUAAGCAUUUUUAACCUUAACAUGUUUCUUGUUUUCCUUGAUUAGGAAGUCCUCUUGGGAGUCCAAGAGAUCAUCCUUUUCAUGGAUAGCACUAAUUAGUUCAUUUAAUUUUUCUUUUUGUUCCAUGUUAAGGUUGGCAAAAAGAAUACGCAAGUUAUCCUCCUCAUUUUUAUCAUCCUCAUCACUAGAUGUUUCAUAUUUAGUGGAGGACUUUGAUUUUACCUUCUUUUUGCCGUCCUUGGCCAUGAGGCACUUGUGGCCGACGUUGGGGAAGAGGAGGCCUUUGGUGACGGCGAUGUUGGCGGCGUCCUCGUCGUCGGAGGAGUCGCUUAAGCUUUCGUCGGAGUCCCACUCCCGACAAACAUGGGCAUCGCCGCCCUUCUUCUUGUAGUACUUCUUCUUCUCCUUCCUCUUGCCCUUCUUGUCGUUGUCCCUGUCACUGUCACUUGAUAAUGGACAUUUAGCAAUAAAGUGACCGGGCUUACCACACUUGUAGCAAACCUUCUUGGAACGGGAUUUGUAGUCCUUCCCCUUCCGUUGCUUGAGGAUUUGCCGGAAGCUUUUGAUGAUUAGGGCCAUCUCCUCGUUGUCGAGCUUGGAGGCGUCAAUUGGUUGUCUACUUGGUGUAGACUCCUCCUCCGUUGCCUUGAAGGCCACGGGUUGCGCCUCGGAUGUGGAAGGCUCAUCAAGCUCGUUGAUCUUCUUGGAGCCCUUAAUCAUGCACUCAAAACUAACAAAAUUCCCGAUGACUUCCUCGGGGGUCAUUUGUGUAUAUCUAGGAUUGCCACGAAUUAAUUGUACUUGAGUAGGGUUAAGGAAAAUAAGGGCUCUUAGAAUAACCUUAACCACUUCGUGGUCAUCCCAUUUCGUGCUCCCGAGGUUUCGCACUUGGUUCACCAAGGUCUUGAGCCGGUUGUACAUGUCUUGUGGCUCCUCCCCUUGGCGAAGACGGAAGCGACCGAGCUCCCCCUCGAUCGUUUCCCGCUUGGUGAUCUUGGUGAGUUCAUCACCCUCGUGCGCCGUCUUGAGUAGGUCCCAAAUCUCCUUGGCGUUCUUCAAUCCUUGUACUUUGUUAUAUUCCUCCUUGCUUAGGGAGGCAAGGAGGAUAGUUGCGGCUUGGGAGUUGAAGUGCUCGAUUUGGGCCACUUCGUCCGUGUCAUAGUCCUCAUCCCCUACGGAUGGUACCUGUACACCAUACUCAACAACAUCCCAUAAUCUUUUGUGGAGAGAGGUUAGAUGAAAUCGCAUCAAAUUACUCCACAUAGCAUAAUCUUCACCAUUAAAAGUUGGUGGUUUGCCUAAUGGGACGGAAAGUAAAGGUGUAUGUUUAGGAAUGCGAGGGUAGCGUAGGGGGAUCUUACUAUACUUCUUACGCUCUUGGCGUUUAGAAGUGACGGACGCCGCGUCGGAGCCGGAGGUGGAGGUCGAUGAAGUGUCGGUCUCGUAGAAGACCACCUUCCUCAUCCUUUUGUGCUUGUCCCCACUCCGAUGCGGCUUGUGAGAAGAUUUUUCCUUCUUCUCCUUAUGGUGAGAAGAGGAAGAUCUUUUCUCCUUCCGCUUGGAGGAUUUCUUUUUCUUCUCUCUUCUCUUGGUGCGGGACUCUUCCGAUGAAGAUGAAGUGCUCCCUUGGCUUGUAGUGGGCUUGUCGUCGCCGGUCUCCAUCUCCUUCUUGGCGUGAUCUCCCGACAUCACUUCGAGCGGUUAGGCUCUAAUGAAGCACCGGGCUCUGAUACCAAUUGAUAGUCGCCUAGAGGGGGGGUGAAUAGGGCGAAACUGAAAUUUACAAAAAUAAUCACAACUACAAGCCGGGGUUAGCGUUAGUAAUAAUAAAUGAGUCCGCAAGAGAGGGCGCAAAACAAAUCGCAAGUAAAUAAGGAGCGUGACACGUGGAUUUGUUUUACCGAGGUUCGGUUCUUGCAAACCUACUCCCCGUUGAGGAGGCCACAAAGGCCGGGUCUCUUUCAACCCUUCCCUCUCUCAAACGGUCCCUCCGACCGAGUGAGCUUUCCUUCUUCUCAAUCAACCGGGAACAAAACUUCCCCGCAAGGGCCACCACACAAUCGGUGCCUCUUGCCUUGGUUACAAUUGAGUGUUGAUCACAAGAGCACAAGAGAAAGAAAGAAUGCGAUCCAAGCGCAAGAGCUCAAAAGAACACGGCAAAUCUCUCUCGCUAGUCACUAGGGUUUUGUGUGGAAUUGGAGAGGAUUUGAUCUCUUUGAAUGUGUCUAGAAUUGAAUGCCUAGCUCUUGUAAGUAGUUGAGAAGUGGAAAACUUGGAUGGCUAUGAAUGUGGGAUGGUUGGGGUAUUUAUAGCCCCAACCACCAAAUGUGGCCGUUGGGGAGCCAGUCUGCUCGAUGGCGCACCGGACAGUCCGGUGCACACCGGACAUGUCCGGUGCCCCUGCCACGUCAUCAGUGCCGUUGGAAUCUGACCGUUGGAGUUCUGACUUGUGGGCCACCCCUGAUGUCCGGUGGCGCACCGGACAGCUCCUGUUCAUUGUCCGGUGCGCCAGUAUGGGCAAACCUGACGUCUGCGCGCGCUGCGGCGCAUUUAAUGCCUCUGCAGGUAGCCGUUGGCGCGGGAUAGCCGUUGUGCUGGAGUCACACCGGACAGUCCGGUGCACACCGGACAUGUCCGGUGAAUUAUAGCGGACGAGCCGUUGGCUUUUCCCGAAGCUGAAGAGUUCCUGAGGCCGCUUCUCCAUGGCGCACCGGACACUGUCCGGUGUACACCGGACAGUCCGGUGAAUUAUAGCGCGAGAGCCCCUGGAAAUUCCCGAAGGUGGCGAGUUCGAGCUGGAGUCCCCUGGUGCACCGGACACUGUCCGGUGGUGCACCGGACACUGUCCGGUGGCACACCGGACUGUCCGGUGCGCCCAGACCAGAGGGCCUACGGUUGGCUCUUUGCCCUUUUGUUGAACCCAACACUUGGUCAUUUUAUUGGCUAUGUUGUGAACCUUUGACACCUGUAUAACUUAUACACUAGAACAAACUAGUUAGUCCAAAGAUUUGUGUUGGGCAAUUCAACCACCAAAAUUAUUUAGGAAGUAGGUGUAAGCCUAAUUCCCUUUCAGGCGCGAGGCGGAGCUCCUUGUUGCGCCCGAGGCUGAACUCGGCGGUUGAUCGUGACUCGUUGUCAGCUUCGCCUGGGUGGUUGGCGCAACAGUCGGAGCGGGGCGAGCGGCGUUGUUUUCCUGUCAGAUCGGUCAGUGAAGGGACGAAGUGACUGCAGUCACUUAGCGGCGCUGUUUCCCUGUCAGAUCUGUCAGUGAAGGGGUGAAGUGACUGCGGUCACUUCGACCCUGUCCGACUGAGGCGCGUGUGUCAGGAUAGGAUGCCAGGCGAUCCUCGCAUUGAAUGCGCCUGCGACACGGUCGGUUGGUGCGGUGGUUUGGCCAAGGUUGCUUCACAACGAAGCCUGCCCGAGCCGGGCUUCGGGAGAGCCGUGGGUGUGCCCGCUGCCUGAGGAGGCCCUCGGGCGAGGCGUGAAUUCGUCCGGGACCACUGCUCCUGCCCGAGGCUGGGCUUGGGCGAGGUCGCGUCCCUUGGGUAGAUGAAGCUUGACUUGAAACGCGCCUGUCAGCUGGUCUGAGGGUGUUUACCAGUCGUGAUUAGGAGCGUUAGGGGUACCCCUAAUUACGGUGCCCGAUAGUAGCCCGGAGCCUCGAAGGGAGUGUUGGUACUCGCUUGGAGGCUUUGCCGCAUUUCUGGUGAGGGGACCGGCCUUUCUCGGUUUUACUUUGUUCUGGCGGGUGCGCGUGAGCGCACCCGCCGGGUGUAGCCCCCGAGGCCUCGGAGGAGUGGUUUGACUCCUUCGAGGUCUUAAUGCUUUUCGUGAUGCCUCGGCCGGUCUUGUUGUUCCCUCAUGCGGCCUGGCCAUAGCCCAGGUGCAUGGUCAGGUUCCGAGUUUGUAGGCUGGUUUGUUGACGCUGUCAACAGUUUGGCCGUAGCCGGGUGCGAGAGCAGCCCCCGAGCCUCUGCACGGAGCGAGAGGACGAUCAAGGACUUUCUCGACUUUUUUCAUACACCCCUUCGUCGCCUUUCCGAAAGGAGGAGGGGGAAAGCGCCAUGUUGCCCUCGGAGGGCGCCGAACAUGGUGUUUCCAGUGAGUUGCUAACGGGUGAUCCGAGUGGACGCCCGUGCCCCGUUCGUUAGGGGUCGACUAGUGGCCCAGAGGCGCGCUCCAAAAGUACCUGCGGGUGAUUCGCCGGACCCGGACCCCUUUUGACAGGGUCCGAGGGCUCGAUGCCUCCCUCUGGUGGGAUUCCGUUACAAAUCGUUCCUGCCGGUCUCGGAAAUGUUCUAGGGUACCUCAGGAGCGUAGCCCGAGCCUCGGCCAUAUAUCGGACGUACCCAGAGUCAUCCCUCGCUCUGCACGCUCUGGGGCGGCUGUCGAACCCUUCCGAGGGGCCAGCCUUCGAACCCCUGAUCAGUAGUGGGCGCGGAGCCCGAGUGCUCUGAGGCGGCUGUCGAACCCUUCCGAGGGGCCAGCCUUCGAACCCCUGAUCAGUAAUGGGCAUGGAGCCCGAGUGCUCUAAGGCGGCUGUCGAACCCUUCCGAGGGGCCAGCCUUCGAACCCCUGAUCAGUAAUAGGCUCGGGGCCCGCUUCCUUCGCCGAGAAGGAUCCUUUCCGAAAUAUUCCCUUUCCCGGUCCCUGUAGCAAGAGAGAGAAAGAGGAGGAAAAGGAUAUGAAUUUAAAUAAGGCGGCACACCUUUUUUGACGCGGUUGUCAUGUCGGAGGUGAAACGACGCCCGCCUCGCCUGCCAGAGAUGUCGCCUGCUCUGCCGGGGAGUUAAUGCAACGGGGCGGGCGAUUCGCGGAGCGUCCGUUGCGCGUGCGCGGGCCGUUCGAGGAACGGGACACGGGUGCAUCGUCUUCACGCCGUGGGAGAGGGCUCUCAUGCCGCUUCAGGAGGGGACGCAAGCUUGCAGGCGAUUUGACCGCUGCUUCCGCUCGUCCCUCGUCGCCAUUACUACCGGCCCACUUUUGGGCCAUGCCAACCGCCGUGCCUACCCCUGCGGUUGACUGACCCAUGAUCGUUGCACUUAAUGGGCACUGUUGGGUCACGCGCAAGACUGCCUCGAGUCGCGGCAUUGGUUCCGCAGUCGAGAAGGCGCUGCAUUGGCGCAGGCAGCGGUGUGGCUUCUUGCACGUCGUAACCGGCGCGCCGGUUGCAUGACAUGUGAGCCUGGGCCUCCGUGUCGGAUGCGAUGAAGCCGAAAGGGUGCACAAUCGUGGUGCAGUGCGGAGUGGAGCACUGACAGGUGGGUGCAGUUGCGGACGGAGCCGUUGAGGUGGGCGUGGGGCUCCACCUUGGGGAGAGCGACGCAGAGUGGUAGUUGUCCAGGGAAGACAACGAAGAGGUGUUGUCCAGGGGAGAUGUUGUCCAGGGAAGACGACGAAGAGGGGGAGGUCCGAGUCCCCCGCGAGGCGCCCUCCUCGGGUGUCACAUCGGUGUCACGAAAGUUGGGCGUACGGAUCAGGGUCGACGGGCGCGCGAUCAUACUGGUCAGGUGGCGGCGGACAUGCCUCGAUGGCCGCCCUCGUCAUAGUCGCUGCGGUGGCCGUGGUGGUGGUGCGGCGGGGAGGACGACAACCUGGUGCCUGCGACGGCUAGGGUUCCAGGCAAAUGAGGACGGGCUCGGGGCCGUUGUCCUCCUGCUCGCGUACGGAUCGACGAGGUUAUGGGGAAAUGAGGGGAUGACGCGACGAAGCUCGGGAGGGGCGCGGGGUGGCCGGUGAUGACUGUGGAGCGCGACGUUUGCGAGGAUAGCGUGGCGGUGGCGGGCUUGCGCAUCGCGAGUCGGGGCGGGCGCGGCGUGGAGGGGAUUGCGGGCGCGGGGAGGGAGGCGGAGCGCGCGCGAUGGCAGAACAAAAAAGUGUGGACGCCUACACUAAAGACAUAAGGAGUAGUAGAGAUUGGCGGUAACGUUUAGGACUUCAGUCUUCUAUGGCUGCAAGAUAUAAAAGAAGAUUGUUUAGAGAUCACAAGUUCUACAACGUUGAUGAAUGAGAUAUCAAUUAGGUGGGGCUAGGGAGCAUGCCAUCCACUAAGUUAGGAGAGGUCGGAAGGUAGGUUUAAUCUAUCUUUAGCAGUCUUCCUAUCAUAUGUCCCAUCACACUUGUUAUUUCAAACUCCACUACGUAAAUAAUGUGGUGUAUAUUGCAAAAUAAUAUUUUGCAUGAUCAUAUAUAGUGUUGGGAAUAUGAGCUGGGCUUUUCGAACCAGCACGACCACGACCCGAAAAUAGGAGCCCAAAGCACGGCCCGACACAAAAUAAUAUGGGCCGAGCUAGCACGGCACGAAGGCGGGCUUGGGUCGGGCCUCAAUUUUUGACCCGUCGGGCCUCUGGUAUGGCCCGCGUAGAUGGGCCGGGCUUGGGCCGGCACGACCCAACUAAGCCCAAUCUAUUUAAUUUCUUUAAUUUAGUAAGAUAUCAACUUUGUAUUGUUGUUAUAUGUAGAGUUUAUGUGAUCAAAUGAUGCUAGAAUUGUUUAAUAUCUUUAAUUUAGUAAGCAAUGAAUUUUAUAUGGUUGUAAUAUUUUGAUUUUAUGUGGUCAAAUAUACGGACCGGGCUUGGGCCGGCAUGGCCCAACGAAGACACGACGUGGUUUAGAGCCAGGCUGGCCACUGUUUCUACACUUGGGCUGACACGACACGUCCCAAAAAAAUUUUUGGGCUUUCCUGGACCGAACCCGUUUGACACGAAGCACGAUGGACUUAGGCCGGACCAGCCCAAUUUCCAGCACUAGUCAUAUAUACGAUCUGCUGCUGAGCACAACCUUAGAUUCAUGAUGAUGAUUUGAUAUGGCAAAGAUUCAUGAUGAUGAUUUGAUAUGGCAAGGGAAAGAUACAAAAGAUAUAAAGAAAAUGUUCGCGCAGAUAACUAACUAUGCCAUUGAUAAACAUGGUAGUAAUAUUGACGCUCGCAGCCAGAGGAGGAAGACGAUGCGGCAGAUAUAAAGGAACUAUACCUGCCUCUAGUGCGCGUAACAUACGGUUAAACGCACAGUUAGAGCAACUCCAGUAGUUUUCUAAAAGACUUUCUAAAUCAAUAAUUUAGGUAGUUAACAUGAAAACUAUUCUCCAACAGUUCUCUAAAUGAACUUUCUAAAUUUAACAACUUGUUAUCUAACCUUAUUUUCUCUCUACAUUUGGCAACCAUUUAACAACUCCCUAAACAAAAAUGUUGACUGCAUUAUAUAGUUUUUGUGACUUAUUUUUUAUGGGGAUAAAUACAAAACAAAAUUACAACCUAUAUUUAGAGAACUAUUGGAAAACUCACAUUUUUUUACUCUAAAAGUCAUUUAGUAACUUCUUAAAUCUAUGAUUUAGAGAGCUAAAAUCUACAUAACUAUUGGAGUUGCUCUUAGGGGGUGUUUGGUUUCUAGGGACUAAUGUUUAGUCCCUUCAUUUUAUUCCUUUUUAGUAUAUAAAUUGUUAAAUAUAGAAACUAAAAUAAAGUUUUAGUUUCUAUAUUUGACAAUUUUGGAACUAAAAUGGAAUAAAAUGUAGGGACUAAACAUUAGUCCUUAGAAACCAAACACCCCCUUAGACUCGUUUUUUUAAUAGAAUCGAAGAGGACAAGUGGCUGAAUUUUUUUUUCUCCUGUGAAAAAAGUUGGCCAUGACAAAUGAAGGAUGCUACAGGACCACUGUAGCGAGAACAAGUUCGAGCACGAUAAUGACCGGGGAACCGAGACGGUCGUUCAGGUAUGCCAUGGCCACUUGAAGAUGAAACCCACCACAAAUGUCACCCACCGGCCGGAAAGAGUGGAGGGAAACCGCUGCGGGUCCGCGAAACUUUCCACGGUGCAUUGACGCUGCUCUCGUGCUCGGCUGCGAGGCCAACUACAAUCUGUGCGGCUGCUGCGACUGCGAGAACUUAGCUUGGCAGGGAGGAGAAAGACGACAGGAACAGAGACGAAUAGCCAUGCUGAUCGAGCGGCAAGCUUCGUCCCCCCUCGGCGGCGAGGCGACACGUACGAUGCAUCCAGGCACAAAUGGAUGGACCUAGAAACAGUAAUCAAAUGUGUGCCAGAGACGAACAGCAGAGCAAAACCGUUCCUUUGUUAUUCAUGACGCCGCACGGCUGGCCUGCUCAGCCAUCCGCAAGACAGAGCAAGUGAAGCCCUGAUCAGCAAACCCGGCCUCCUCCGCCUAGCGCCCUAGCCUACGGAGUGCGGGCAUGGCAGCGCCGGACCAUGCCACCCUUCAGCUCUAUCGGCGCCAGAAGCAGCGGAGCCUGAGGCGGCGCGCGAGGACAUUGGCGAUGGCGACGAGGGCGGCGGCGGCUGCCGCGAAGUCGGCGACGGGGUCGGGCGGGCCUCCCCUGGCCACGCGGCCGCCGAUGAGGCAGGCCACGAGGAGCAGGGGCAGGCACCAGAGCACCAAGUCGAGGGCCGAGUCGAUGUCUACGUCCCAGUCACACACCCUCAGCAUGGCCAUCGGGGGGCGCGCGCGGGAGCCGGAGGAGGAGGCAAGAACGGACGGAGCUGGACUGGACGACGAGCGAGCGAGGAGAGAGGGGGACGGAGCUGGAACGAGCGAGCGGCUAGCGCGGUUGCAUUGCAGUUGCAGCUAGCUGGAUCAAAACGGGGACUUGCGCUGCGCCUGGACUGCGGUGGGUGGAUCGGCGCAGGCCGGCGGAGAAAAAAGAGGGUUUUGCGACUGCAGCAGCGUGGAGGCGAGCGUGUGAUCGAUCGAUCAAUCGAUCGAUAGACCAUGGGCUCGUGGCCGGCCGAUCCCCGCCCCCGCGCGCGCGCAGCCCCUCCCGUCCGCGUCGCGGAGCACGGAUUCGCUCGCCCCGACAUGGACUCGUCAGAGGGGCGGAGGCGUGAGCCGAAACCGGCAUGGUCGGCCCAGUGCGGUGUCCGCUUCCGGUCGCCGAGUAGAGCCGACGGGCGACGGGAGAGUAGGGCGGAGGAGACGGAUAGGUCCGCCCCGGAAGAGGAAAAAGGGAAAAAGGGAAAGGGGCACGCGGGCGGGAAAGAGGCCAGAAAGCUUCCUCCAUUCCCGCGCGGGCUACCGACCAGCCGUUGCUGCUCUUCGCUAGUCAUUCUAGCCACGAGGAGGAUCGGAGCCUAAUACGAGGACUAAACAAACGGACAUGCACGACACCGCACACAACAAGUCACAACUCACAAGUCUUGCAUAUAUCGGUCGGGCACAGCACUCCCUCCAUUCCCUGCCAGACUACGAUGAUGAUGACCCCUACCUUGGUCACCUUUGCUACUGAUGAAGAAGACACAGCAGGUGUUGCUCGUGUCCUCCAACAGCAAACUUCAGACGCAAGAGACCACCACCCCGGCAGUUCUGUGCAUUUUCUUAACAUGUUGCAGUCUUGCAGAUAACAGAGCUGCUGCUAGCUGCCUGGCUAACUGAACACAAGCCCACCAUUGCAACCUUUUUUUUUUUACAAAAUGAACAUCGAUGGGCAUGUGCUUCCACAAAAUGAACAGAAGAGACAGACAACCUGCCAACCAACCAACUUCGAAGUAAAGAGGAUUAGUAGUACCAUUCGCAGUUUUACAUUUUCCAAACACACUGCAAAUACUUUAUUAAUGACAAGGUAACCUAAUUAACUGAGCAGCGUCUGACCAGCGUAACCUUUUUUUUUAUCAGCAAAUCCCUUGACACGGCUAGUGUUUCAUUCUAUUUAUACGAACAUGAACAUCUACCAUCAGCUCGGCACACACAGAGAACACAUGAGCUCUACCGCUUCUGAUCCACGGCAGGAGGGAGCUGCUGGAGGCCUCCCCUGAGGGGGGCUGGCUGGCUGGCUCGGUCGAUUCGGAAAGGAAUCUCCUUCAGCCGACACGCUCAUUCUUCUUCGUCCUCGUCUUCUUCAUUAUUGAUCCCCACCCAGUGAGUGAAAGCGAAAAGGAAUUCCUUGAAGGUCACCGUUCCAUUCUUGUCCCAGUCCAUCUCCUCUGCAUUCCACCAAAUGAAGUAAAUAUAUCAGGGGAAAUAUAUAAACAGGUAAUAACCAGGACUGGAAUCUAAGAGGUCUCUGUAAUAGGCAAUCUAGGAAAAAAUUCGACGGGCUUCUGAUCUACUUUUGGUGGAGCUUAUGGUUAGAAAGAAACAUCAGGAUCUUCAGAAAUCAGCAGAAGAAUACAGAUCAGGUCGCUUAUUUAGUGAGAGAGCUUGUUGGUGCUUUAUUGGGUUAGUUUGGGCCUUUGGAGUUGUUUUUAGUCUCAGUAGGCAGUCGAGUCUUGCUCUUCUUCUUUCUUCCCCCCCUCCCUCUCUUUUUCGUCUUCGUGAGUGUCUUGUAAGUGUUUCUCCUCUCUAAUAUAUUGGACCGACAAAUCUUUUGCCCGUCCCUUUCAAAAAAAAUAACCAUGACUGGACCGAAGUAAAAUGCUUUCAUGCUUACAACCAGUUUGGAGUAAGUAUUUUCAUCAAUGGACACUGAAUCCAUAUCACAGUUGAAAAAAAAGGGGGAAAAAGAACAGUCUAUGAACAGUUGUAACCUACAUAAACUAUCUGCCUUGCUCUCGAAAUGCGCAUCCAGCCAGACCAAGGAAAGAAGGUAUUUUUCACAUUGUUGAUUUCUCAAGAACAAGCAAUGGUGUCGCAAGAAAAUAGGACUGACAAUUAGUGGGAAUGCUAACGUAUGAGGGUUGUAGUGAAAGCCAACUGACCUUUUUAUUAAGAAACUAAGAGCAGAAAUUAGGGUGUGUGGAUGACGGUGACAGAGGAGAUAACUCACCGAAUCUUUUCAUGCCUAUGCGCCCAGAAGAGCGCUCUCCUCCAAUAGUCUCAUUUAUUGCUUGUAUCAUCUCGCUCUUGCUGACAUAUCCAUCUUUGUUCUUGUCCAAGAAGACAAAAGACUCGACCAAUGUUUCAAAUGUUGGUUCAAGGCUACCUAACCCCAUUCUUUUUCUCUAAAAUAUCAUGUCAAGGACAUACAUCCAGAGGGACAGAAUUAAAAAAAACACAUAAAAUAGGAUCUCAACUCGAGGCAUGCCAAAUACUCUAACUUAUACGACAUGAUACAAAAAUAUUCAUACCAGAAAGUUCAAUGAGUUGUUUUUAUCAAUUAAAAUCCUUUUUCAAAAAAAAUUAUCUUGAAAACCUCACAGAAAAACUCGAUGUGUUCUACUUGUAUGCCCUACUGGAUGCAAUAAAGUAGAGACAUUAAUAUACCAUGAUUAGUUUUAAAUCUCAGGUAAACACAUACCACAAGUUUAGUGUCAUAUCAGACUCUGGAAAAAUUAAGAACAUUAACACAUCGUGUGGAUUUCCUGCACUAAAGAAAGAGACAAAAGUGAAUAUUGAACAGCAGAUAUUUUUGUAUUGUGUCAAGGAUACAACUUCAGACACUGCAGGAUCAUCUAGAAGAUAAACAAGGCACAGGAAGACAAUGAACUCAUUGAACUUCAUGCCCAUGUUCUCAUAAAUGUCACAUGCCUGAAACAGAUCUUUUAUCUCCUGGUCAGUCGAUUCAAUGCCCAAAUUUUGGAAACAAUGCUUAAGUUCCAGCUGAUCUAUUUCACCAUUGGAAUCUUCAUCUGGAUAAAUACAAACCAACGUUUGUCAAAACACUAAAAAAAGGUUUGAUGAAACACCUCAGGACAAGAACGAGAGACAAUUUGUGGUCAGCAUUUACAUUUCAUUUAGACAAGGCAAGUCUGGAUUCUAGACCAGUUCAUGCUGAUGACAACAAAUUCCUCACAUUGGUGUCAAAGCAUGUCUCGAAAGCAAAUAAAAUGGGACAGAAAUUGAGGAGAUCUAUCUUAUGCUCAAUUAUUUUAAUGAAUUGAAAUUUACAGGUGCAUUUUCCCUAAAUCUGCCAAAAAGAGCCAUAGCGAAGAAGGGAUAUCUGUUAAGUUCCAUACGGUGGAUUUCGCCUGAAUUCACUCUCCUUGGCAUAAUGCAAUGCACAUGACUCCAUGUUAAAUUUGGAGAAAGAUAUCUGCUAUGUCAAUGUGCACGAGGCAUUUAUCUGACCUCAAUAGACCAAAGGCAGCAGGAGCCAGGAGACCUUGGCCCUAUAAACCCAGUGAGCAUGCAUGGUGUGGUUGCACUAGAGUUGGAAGAAUGUGUUCUACGUGGAGCACUACUCUUUGAAAAAAUACCUUUGCUUUAUGUUGGAUUAACAAAAUAGGUGGAACGUCAUUUCAUUUAGAUCGACUGAAGACAAUUUGUCCAUGCUAGUUUUGUCCAGUAGUUAGACAUUAAAUGAAGUAAAAUAACUCUAGGUGUAACUAUAAUUAAAAAAUAAUACUGCAGAAUAAAGACUACCCAAAGCUAAUACCUUGUUCAUGUCUGCCUGUUGUUAAAUUUACAUAUUUCAGCUAUACAUCCAGUUUUAUGUCAAGUUUUGGCCUUUAAAUGAAAUGAUACCAUAGUGCUGGUUCAGAUAGAGGCGGUAAAGCUCACCAAAUUGCUGAAAGAUAGUCCUGCAUUUUCUCAAACUCUCGUCGAUCUUAGGAAAUUUCAUGAUGACACUGUUCAAUGAUUUCACUGAGGUUCCUUUUAAUGCUCUCUGCUGCAUGGCUUCAACCAUCUUCUUCUCUAACUUAGAUGCCGGCGAGGUGUGCCUUGGUGAGUCACCACUAAUUACACCUCCCAUUUCCGCAAUUUCGACGAUCUUGUAUGGUGCCAAAACCUCCUUGCUUGGACCUGGAGACGUAAGUUUUACUCAUGGUAGACGAAGAAAUUUACACUACCGCCAGUCCGCCACGAUGAAAGGCACUGGCCACAAAAACUGUAAAAGACUGCUUGGCAGAUAUCCUUUAGAUCAAGAGACGAAACAAGGAGAUCUAAGAACCAUGAUGAUCUUGUCGUCCUCAUAAAUGUAUCAAGUUAUUGACAUAGUAAAUUUAACUUGUAUCAAUCAAAUUAUGUAGAAAACAGGUGACGAUGGAAGCAGCGUGCAUUCAAAUUAUAUUUUUUUAAAAUACAAAACGUGUACCAUUUGUGACAUGCAACAAAAGAGCACCAGCACUGAUAGCGGCAAAAAAAUUAUAUAUGAUGCCUGUGGCAUUCCACCAGAAAGUACCCUCAAACGAAACCGAAGGGUUUCACGUGGCGAAAACAAUAGGCUUUCCCUUGUUUUAAAAGAAAAAGAAAAGAACAACUGAUGUUACAAAUCAAAGAAAAAGGAAAGAAGAACUAAUGUUGCAACUGGAGGCCACCGACUAACUACACCGAUCGACGCAGCAAACGAGUCCGCACCGAACCACCGGAGAAAGAACAUUUGGAAGGAACUGGACAAUUCAGGGCAGCAGUGAAAAGAUCGAUAUCCCCCGGCACAAAAGGAACGAUCUUUCCAGUUUCCACAAAAGUGCACACCUGCCUGCCACAGGACCGACAAGGAAAGUUGGAUAGCAUCCUUACCGAGGAGAAAUCCAAGUCCGGAUGGAUCUCCAGCACUAACUCCACCGGCAGGGCCGAGGGGCGAUCGACGGGGUCACGGGGGACGCCUGCGCCUGCGGGCGGGUGGUGGAGGGAGGGGACCGGGAAGGGAGGCGCGGGUUGCGCAUACGGUGGGAGGGGAGGGGAUGGGAUGGGAUGGAGAGAAGGAGAAGCAGAGGCGCGUCCGGCGCCGAGGGCGGUGGGCAGCCUACGAGAGCAGAUGCCCCGGUGAAACGCAUGCGCGCGGCGCGCCAAUGUUCUUCCUCCUGCUACAUGCUGACGAUGAUGACGUGAAUUUUCAAAAAUGUCAUUUUAAACUUAAGGGAUGUUUGGUUUUUAGAAACUAAUUUUUUAGUCUAUAUAUUUUAUUUAUUUUAAUCUAUAAAUUGAUAAAAACGAAAAUAAAACUCUAUUUUAGUUUUCGUAUUUAAUAAUUUAGUGACUAAAAUAAAAAUAAAAUAAAAAAAACUAAAAAUAAGUUUUAAAAUCAAACACCUCUUUAAUUAAGAAGCAGAACCCGGUCGGUCUACGUUAAGAGAGCCCCACUAGCAAACGUCCUAGUCUCAAAACAUAACGCAUACAUCUAUUUUAAAACCUAAACUUUGUUAUUUUAUCACCAAAAUAGUAUAGCAAUAUGUUGGAUGAAGGAACAUCAAAAUAAAAGUGGUGCAACACUGAAGCAAAAUAUUCAGCCGUUUUAAAUCUUAACAUGGCUAAACGAUCCAACUCAAAUUUAAGCUCAUUAACGAGUCAAAUCGAGCUGACCCUUUGAUCUAAUUUCUUAACGAGACGAACUGGUUAACAUCAUAUCUCAAAUUUGAACGAGCCGAAUCAAACUAGCUUUUAAUAUACAUCCCUAUACCCUACCUAGUGGUAGGGAUCAACCGACUUCCACUUAGACAAUCAGGAUUUUUUUAAAAAAAUUAUAUCCGUCGUUCCGUAGACGUUCAGUCUACAUUUGAAUUCUUUCGACCGAAAUAUAUUUCAAAUUUAGAAUUAUUUAAAUAAAAAGGGGAAAGUUACGGUCGAACAGGCUAACGUAGGCCCACCUCCUUGCCCCAAGAGGCAUGUUCACCGGCUGGGCCGUAUUUUUCUACACAGGUAUCAACCCAAGUGACCUCCUCUCUUUCCCGGCUCCGGUCGCGAAUGCGCGAUGCGUUCUCUCCUCCUGCCCCGCAGGUGCGCCUUCGCUUCGCGGCGCUUCCUCUCCGCGCUCGCCGGCAGCGGGGCUAGGGCCCCGUGCGCCGGCGUUGUGUACGGGUUCGGGGAUAACAGCCAUGGCGCGGUGGGCCAGCCUCCACCGGCUGCCCACGCCUACGUGCCCACGCCCGUGCCCUCCCUCCCGCCGUCCGUGAGCGCCGUCGCCGCCGGUCACUACCACUCCCUCGCCGUAUCUGCCGCCGGAGAGGUCUGGGCGUGGGGGCGCAACGACGAGGGCCAACUCGGCCGCGGGCUUCACUCCCCGAGGUGAUCUAAAACUCAUCUUUGCUAGCUCAAGAAGAUUUGGAGUGCUCAAAUAACUUGAGUCCUCUUUGUACAUAUAUCAUGAGAAGCUAGUGUAAUGUAGCAUCGGGUAAAUAAUUGAUGAAAGUAGCACAAGCAUGACCCUCGAGGUGAAAGCAUUACUACAUGGUGGUUACAUGAUUACACGACAUGUGUGGAUUUGGAAGCACAAAGCACUAUGUUGUGUGCUUAUGCAGUUCAGUCAGUAAUGUGUAUGCUACACAUCAACCAGGAGAGAGCAUCACUGACUUAGGAAGAACAAAAAUAUAAAGAAAGAGACCCUGUGAUUGUUGGAACAAGGUCCACUGACGUUCGGGAGGGGUCACUAACGUGUGGGCCCCAUGUGCGACAGGGUCCACGUGCAGUGAACCAACUGCACGGUGCAGUACGUCAUUGUUAGGAUCUUUACUUUAAGCCACUUUUUGGUGGCUUAGGCUUCUGGCCUAAAUGACUUCAGCUCUACUGUUUUUGGUUUCAAAAGUCGUUGUUGUGUGUGCACGUUUGGUAGGGCUUUUGAUUAAUCCGAUGGAGAAGCCCAACAAAAGCCCUGCCAAAGAGGGUCUUAACGUGGACCGUGCUUCUUUUAAUGGUUUCAGUUGUGUGUUUUUGAUAAUUUCAUAUUUUCCGCUAUCAAGAGUAUUAACACUUUGCCCACUCUACCUAAUGGAACUGUCUAUCAGAAUUUUAUUCCUUAGAACUUAACCAUUAAUGAUUGUUUCCUUGUCCUUACGCAGUGUUACUUAUCAAGGCUAUGCGUAAAACUAUUCAACUAUUUCACUAAAUGACAGGAAUACUUGGAGCAAUGCAGAACUGGUCAGAGGAUUGGAAAAUGUUCAGGUUCAAGCUGUAUCUGCUUCAGGCGUUGUUUCAGCAGCAAUAGGAUCUGAUGGUUCCCUAUGGGUUUGGGGGAGGUCAAAGCGUGGCCAACUUGGACUUGGGAAGGACAUUGUAGAGGCAGCAGUGCCAUCUAAAGUGAAAGCUCUUGCUAGCUACGACAUUGUUAAGGUGCUAAUUUUCUCACAGAAAUUUAAUAAAUUGAUUGGUGAUGACGUUAACUGAAGGAAUAACGUUAGGUAUCAUUUGGAUGGGGGCAUUCCAUGGCACUGACAAAGGAUGGAAAGCUAUUUGGUUGGGGCUACUCGGAAAAUGGAAGGUUAGGAGAAAUGGGCCAAAGCACUAGAGCUCUUUCUGCAGAAGAAUACAUAGGAAAAACGGUAGACAAGUAUUCUAGUGUAAUGCUGGAGGCUGUUGAAAAGAUGGUUGAAGAGAAAAUUCAGAGUGAAGACGAUAUGCCCAUUAUCUGGGAACCAUCCCUUGUUCAUGAAGUGAGUCGUCUUGAGGUGUCUGAUGUGUCUUGUGGGCUUGACCAUUCCUUGAUUCUCUGCUGUGAGUAUUUCUUUCUACUACAAACGGAACUCCUUGCGUGUCAUUUGUGAUGGAUAAUGCUUUUCUUAUUCUUUUAUGCUGAGCACGUGGUAACCAGAGUCAAUAAAACUAUGCUGUAAUGUUGCUUCAAUAAUAUUUGAUGUGAUCAAACAUUGGAAAUAUCUUGUACUGCGGAUGCAAAUAGUACAUGUUUUAGAUAAUAUUUGGUUAUUUACCUGUCAUUAUCACAUCUUGACAAAUCUUACUUGGUCCUAUUACAGUUCAUUGUAUGGACAAUUUAACAUACAAUGCAAGUAGCUGUACAUUUGUUAAUGUUACUUAUAGGAUCAACAUAGAAAAAGUUAUGUCAUCUUAACCUCAUAGGAAACAGACUACAAGAAAAUGAAAAACGGUGAGAAUCUAUCAUUCUCAAAUUAGCCUUUUUGGUUAUUCUUAUUUUCAAAUCUCUAUCUCCCACUCUCAUAUGGAUUCUGUAAUUUUCCAGCUGAUGGCAUUGUACUGAGCGGUGGUGACAACACUUAUGGACAGCUGGGUAGGAAGGCCGGGCCACCCGAAUUGCUUCCUGUUGGCAUGAGCUAUAGGCCAUUCUCCAUGUCGGCAAGUGUCGGCCACUCUCUUGCACUAUGCUACACAACGACUGAAGGCACCGCUGGUGUGGAAACUGGCCUCCUCUCAUGGGGAUGGAACUGCAGCUCCCAGCUCGGACGGUCCAGCCAAGAGGACAUCCCUGCACUGGUGGACUCUCUGAGCAGGGAGAGGCUGGUAUCGGCCUCGGCUGGUCGAGUCCAUUCGGUUGCUCUCACGUCGAAAGGUGAAGUUUGGACCUGGGGAUCGGGCAGGAAUGGCAGGCUAGGCCUGGGCAGCUCCAUUGAUGAGGCGGCGCCAUGUCUUGUAGAUACCCUGGAAGGGGUGGAAGUCUUGCAAGUUGCAGCAGGGAUGGACCAUAAUCUCCUCCUGGUUGCCGAGUAGGUAUAGGUUGGUAUGCUGGUGAACUGAAAGAUGGUACUCCAUUUGUUCUUAACUAGCUGAAUGCUCGUGCGUUGCAACGGAAAUAUAUAAUACCAGUAUACUACGAUAACUUAUAUACAAAAUGUGUGUUAUACCGUUAUAAGAAAAUGUUUCAUAAUCAAUUUGUGAUUCUGGCCAUACAUAAAUUUUGUUAUUUAUAAUCUAUCUGUUCACCACUACAUUGCAACCAUCAGUAUCAUGCAGACUUCAAUAUAUGUCACGAUUUGCAUGGUCUCAUCAUUGGAGAGCACGUUUCACACAUACCGGAAGAAAUUCCCUCGUACAUCGUUAGUUAUCAGACACGUACCACUAUACGCUUUUGCUUAAACAAAAAAGGCAAGUGUGUGUUUGCAAAGAGAAUUAAAGGCAAGCCGGCACAAAAGCUACCCCAACGGUGACGAGGAUGACGAACUGGUCAUUAUUGUCGGUCCUCCUCUGCGUCACCUCUGGUGCCAAGAUGACGCCACAGUCCUCGAUAUAGUAGUCGUCGAACGCGCGCGACAUACCGAGUACUGAUGACUCUUGGCUGGGCUGUAAAACAAAGUGUUCCCCGGGCUCAUCAACAAGGUAGUACCCCUAGCCGUUGCACCACCGGAUGCGCUACUCAUCUACAUACAUCGUGUUCGAGGACACUCAUACAACGUCAGCAACGGCCAUCGUCUCAGCGCACAAGAAUUCAUGGCCAGUUAGUAGCGACUUACAUGGCAGGUUGGGUUUCAGGUGGACGACGAGCCGGACGACGUGAUGGCGUCGUCGUCGAAUGCGGUGUCCAGAACAACCCGAGAGUCGCCGACGUUGGCGACGACCAUGAGGUCCCCCUGCUUGACGAUGGACAGCGCGGAGCAGCCGCUCUGCACCGCGUCCAAGCGGCGGCUGCGCCGGAGCUUGUCGUACAUAGCGUCACAUGCGGCCACGUAUGACUGUUUCUAGAGGUCGAACUGGCAGUCGCCAAGUUUCUUCUUGUCGUCGAUGAGCGACCCCAACACGAGUGUCUCCUGCUAAUGGUGUUUGUUCAGGGUUUUCAAGUAAGAAACAUGGAUUCAUGUUUGACGUUGGUUUAUAAAAAUGACUCACAAGUCAGAUCAAUGGAAAAAAUAUUACGAAGAAUAAAUAUCACGCAUGCAAAAAAGAAAUUUAAGUUGAAAACAUUAUUCAAGCAAAAGAAAUUGCAUGCAAGACUCUUUUUUAAAUACUACUCCCUCCAUCCAAAAAUAUAAUUGAAUAAUCUCGGUGAUACUUAUCUACUACCACGCAUUGUGCAAGGGUAGCAGGUGGACUUGGGGAGAGAUAUAGUGGAUGUGUUUUCUGGUAUAGAUGUAGAUAUAAACACACAUAUGGUGUAGUGGUAGCUACUGCUAUUAUUUGUUUGAGAGGUCUUGGGUUUGAAUCCCCUUGGGGCUAUCUGUAUUUUUAAUUUUAGCUAGGCGUCAGCUGUACGGGGGAAUGUGACUCAUAGGAAUGGACGACUGUGCGCGGGGAGGAGGGAACACGUAAUGAGCAGAACGCGGAAUGGCCGACUAUUAUUGCAGUUUUAAUAAGUAGUAGAGAUUAUAGGACAUUUUUGCUUUUUUAGAUUCAUAGUUUUUGCUACAUAUUUAGAUAUACACCUUGUCUAUAUGCAUAAUAAAAAUGGUGUAUUUAGAAAAAAAGAAAACACCUUAUAAUUUGAAUCGUUUGGAGUAUAGUUGUUAGUUGAGGCAACGACUGAUAUGCAAGCAGUGCUUCUAUGCAAGCGUGAAAGCAAACCAUCUGAUCCAUUAGAUUACGAUCCAACCACAGAUACAACCAUGGUUUGUUAAUAAUUUUUUUAUAAAGAUUAUUGAGCUGGUGGUGGAAGGAUUUAAGUGUUAAAUGUGACUUACAAUUGGAUCACGAUUUAAUGGAUCAGAUGGUUUGCUUGCACGCUUGCACAGAAGGACUGCUUGUAUAGCCGUUGUUGUCGUUAGUUGAACGGGUAUCAUAGUCUGUCUGAAGAGGAUGAAAGUUGACGCCAUCUUUUCUUUCUCGAAGGGUUAUGGCCAGGAAAGCGGAUGUGUUUUUUUUAAGAGAAUGUGUGUAUGCGCAUUGCUACUUGAUAUUGAUAGACCGCAUCUGAUCUUGUUGGUCACUCGUCCGUUUAUACUUCAUCCGUUUUAAAAUAAUUAGAUUUAAGAAAAAAAUAUUAGUUUUUGUAUUUUGGAAAAUCUCUAUUUGAUAUCUUAAAUUUUAGUGUUUUUAUAUAUUUUUUGGUUAAACUUAAGAUCGGUUGACUCCUCAAACUGAAAUAUGUUCGCUUAUUUUGAACAUACGGAGUUGUCAAAAUUACAAACUUCUAUGCAAUCUUGGUCUAUCAACAUAGGCUAAUUAAGGUCUCGUUUGGUUUGUGGGAAACUAAAGUUUAGUGACCGAAGUUUAGUCACUUUUAAUCUCAAAAAAUAAACAUGAUGACUAAAGUGGGGUGACUAACUUUAGUUCUUUAGUCACCAGGAGGAUGACUAAAAGAGACUAAAGUAGGAUUUUUACCUUAUUUGUCAUCUUUACUUUCUUCUUGCAGCAAACAUCUACUAAUUAAUAGGAGCAAUACAAUCAUUAUUCACAGCAAUUAAUGUUAUUUAGUUCGGUUUAGUCAGUGGAACCAAAUGUGAUACUUUAGCGUUAAUCACUAAAGUUUAGUCUAGUGACCAAAGGAACUAAACUGGACCUAAAAAGAUAGAGCGUCUACUAACAAAUAAACACAAAAGGAUACCAUACUAGAUUCAGAUGAUUCCAAAAUUGCCACCAUAAGGUAAGGGUAUGGUUUUAUAAAAAUCUAAAAUAAAUCUUCAAUGAUUUUUCUAAAAUUGGCUUUUUUGGGGUAACUUUACUAUAAUAAAGAAAUAAUUGGAUGCUUUUUUUGAAAAAAAAAAUUACUAUAAUUUUUUUUGGUAAAGUUUUUUUUUGACCUAGAACUAUUAAUAUUGUCUGAUUUACUCUUGUCGCGGGUGACGUGGCACCGCACAGAAUAAAACUAACUGAUUGGAGUAGGGUUUCCUUUUGAGAGAGAACAAGUUGGAGGAGGUGUGAGUGUCUUCCUUCGAUCCAGGCCGCAGCGCUCCUCUCUCAAACGGCCCAAGCCCAAAAAGGCUGAGAUCUCAGAGUAGAGCCCACUCGUCGGGCGCGCACGCACGCACGCCGUGAAGACGACGACAGAGCCCAAGUCGAAGCGAGCGGUUUUGCCGGCGGCGGCGGCGACCGGAGGAUGGGGAUGGGAGGCCGGGGCGUGGUGGGAGACAGGUGGUCGCAACGCAUUCUCUGGAUCUGCGCCCUGGGCAGCGCCGUGAGUAAGCGCCCGUACCUAAAAAAACCCUAGCCCCUGCUGCUCUGCUCCUUUCAUUCCGUCGCGGUCUUCCCCUAACCGCUUCUCCCCGUUGCCGCGGUCUCGCUGUGCUGGUGCUUCCGUACAGGCAUCUACUUUGUGGCGGUGGAGAGGCAGGCGCAGAACCGCGCGCGGGCGGUAGCGGAGGGCCUCAAGGGCCUCGACGGCGCAGGGGAUGACGUGUGACAGAGCUGGACGCUGCCGUUGCAGAGGGGCCUCCUUUGUUUAGGUUAUUAAAAUGAGCCACUUUUUUUUUUCUGCUUCACAUGUUCACAGAACUUCGUAGCGUUGCAAUAAUAAUGUACUAAACAUCUGUGCCCGGUCUUUGUAGAAAGGAAUGUUGAUCAAUGUGGGUGUUCUCCUAUGUCACUUAAUCCAUCUGAGCCUCUGUUGCUGCACAGAAACGUAGGGCGUUUUUUUUUAUUUCACACGAUUUGUCCAUUUAAGGAUCCAAUACAAUACAUACGACAAAAAUAUCGAUAUGGAAGUGAAGAAAAUUUACUGUGCUCUUAUCGAAAUUACUUUAAGCCUGAACAAUGCAGUAGCGUUCUGGUUUUUAUACAUGCAUUAAUGCUACAGCUGUACUAAAAUCUGUAUAUAAAAUCAUGGAGUAAAAUACAUUUCCGCUCCUUAAACUUGUCGCCCUAUGUCAUUUAGGUCUACAAACUUUUAAAGUAUGUCAGUCUGGUUCUUAAUCGUUGUUUGGGUCUCAGUUAAGUCUAAACAUGUCGUGGCUGACAUAUGGACCUCACAUGUCAGCCUGUGCAUCUCGUUUCUCUUGAAAAUUACUUCUCCGAUCAUCCUUCUUGGUCGUCCAUAAUUUUGAAAAGUACUUCUCCAAUCACAAGAUGCUGUUUUUUUUUCUUUGAUGCAUGUAUCUCGAGCUUUAUUGACCAGUUUCCACGGAUAAGCUUAGAUAUGUUUAUGCCUGAAAGACUAUCAGUUGAUCAUACAGUCUUUGUUGCCUUUGCAUUUCUUUGUCAUUCCCCCCUAUCUAGUACCAUAUCUAACACCAAAAUGCUACUGAUGCAGAAUUGAAGAAUUCAUGUUUAGGAACUUAAUUGCACUUAAGCUACUUGUGUUUCUAAGUCACGCAAUCAGAAGAUGGCUUAUAAUAAAAUCUGCAAUGAUGGCGGUUAUGGACACUCACCCUUCUAGAUGCUGUUAGUGUGGGUGUGUUUGGUUGUAAUGACGUGAUAGGAUAGGACAAUCUCUUAAAUAAGAUUGUUUGGUUCAGGGUUCGGACAGAACUAUUCCAGUAUUGUCUCUUAAAAUUAGAGAGACGAGAGAGGACGCUAGAGGAUGUCCAUGUCCUGUCUGUCACUAGUUGUCCCGCAACCAAACACAUCCUUUGUGUUUUUCUUUCCUAUUUUUCAACCUUCCUCUUUUGCACCCCCUCUCCUCACUAAUGAACCACAAAGGUUGAUGUCGCAAUCAGCUUGAUGCAGUGCAUGAUCUUCCUUGCUUGGACACUGCCUCGAGUCACCGGAUAAUGCCCAUUAAAACUGUUUAGGUCUUGUUCGGCUGCGUCUGAACGUAAGGAGAUUAAAUUCUCUUCUAUUUAAUUUUAAUUAAAAUUUUUUACAUUUAAUUUUGACUAUGAAUAGACUUAAUCCUCCUCAAUCCCUUUGAUCUAGACGCAGCCAAACAGACCUAAGACGACCGGUACAUUUAUGAUAAGGACAUUAAGAAAAAAAUUAACUGAGAAAAGGUAAGGGAAUCUAUGUAAGGUAUCACAUUUCUAUUAGGUAUCUUAGCUGACCAUUUUUUUUUCUCUUCGGUUCCGGUAAGAUGAGGGAGCUCCGCCGGCUACGCUAAACCUGGAGGAGCUGUUGACGCCGCUAUUUGGGGGCCCAAGAAGGCGCCGAUACGAGCGGCCAUCUCCAACCCUUUCCGGUGCUCUGCUGUCUGCUCCUCGCUGGAAGUGAAGAGGGCGUACCGGAAUAUUCAGAAACGUUCCGGAGUAAAACAUCGGAAGGCACCGCCCGCGUUUCGCCUCGGCUUCGGGGCUCCGACGCGCGCGCCACGUUCCGUUUCCUUCGCUUGCUCUGCUCAUGCGUUUUUUGCUUCCGCUGCCGUGCAAACCGUUUAACCGCUAAACAACAGUUCUUCAGGUUUUUCUUAAGUGUUUAGGUUUAGUUAAACUCUGUUUUGUUAAUUCUUUUUGAAUAAAACGGAAAGGAAAAUACGGAAAUUCGAGUACAGGGGGCAUGUUCCCUUUGGAGUGGACACACCUUUGGCGUAAAAUCUGUACUGCUACUGCCUACUAACGUGUCCAGCGUAAACAUUACUUGAUCUGCGUUGGAGAAAGCAGCUCGAAGCCAAAGCUAGGUACUUGGCAACUAAAAGAUUCUCCCCUAUAUAUAUAGCGCCUCGUACCUAAAUACCUAAAUGUUAUGUCCAGCAGCCCGUGUAAACGGUUAUAUAAGGUACUAUUUGCACUGUUUGCAAAGUAAAGUUUAAAAUAGUGAGUAAGAUAUAUAGUAGGAUAGAGAGUCUGUUGGAGAUACUCUAAAGACUAUCCCCGUGACAAUAGUUUAAUGAAUAAGUUUCGAGUACACCACAUUAAAUACUGCAGGGCACUCGAGGCCACUAUAUAGUGCAUGUGUUGAUCCUAUAAUCACCGGAAAGUACAAUAAAUUGUAAGAGAUUAUACUGACAACCAAUCACCAGAGACCAGCAAGCCCGGGUCUCGAAAGUUGAUGUCACAUGUUAUAAUAUCAAUCUCGGUAGUCGAUAUGGCGAUCCCCUUGCAAAGUGACAACUACAAUAACGCUUAUAUUAAAUGUGAGCAAUGGCAUAUUGGCAUUACAAGUUCGCCUUCGCCCUAACGAUGCGUACAUAUAGAAGGUAGGUGUAUCCAACGCUAUUGGACAAACAUACUUUAAUAUUUAUCACUUUAUUCAUGAAGGUGAUCCUACCUACCAGAGGAUUAAGAGAAUCCUUAUAACUAACACUAGGCAAUAUGUCGGCUCUUACUUGUGAUAAAGGUACAAGGAAUCAUACUAGAUCCAUUAAGUCACCUUCCUUACUCUAGGCUGGCUUAAUGACAUGUAGGAACCAUAGGAGGUAUAUGCAUAUAAAAUUGUCACCUCUUUGAACUAUAAAAGGGGUAGAACACCAUUUAGUUUAAGUUUAGACAUCUAACUCCCAUAAGGAUCCACAACAAAAUCCACCAAACCCAAACCAAAAAAUUGAAGACAAUUCGGUCAGGACUGCAAUAGUGAGAGUUAGUCCAUCUUCUCCCAUAUGACUCAUCUUCAAGGAAGUGUUGCGCCUGUUGGGCUAGGGCUUGUAAUCUUGGCAUACCAUAUACACUCAAUAAUCCAUGAUCAGUACGAAGUUGUAGUGUAUUAAAAACGCUGCGGCCUAAGCCUCUAUAAAAAUUCUUGUGUAUUAAGUUGUCGAUGUGCAUGACAUUGUGGAUAUAAUUUAGGGUUUAGGGCUUACCCUCUUCCGUGUUAGCAAUCCUUUCUUGGGUACUUCUGGUACCCUAAUGUCUUUGCUAUGACAACUAGGGAUGAGGAUGAAAAUGGUCGAAAACAUAUACUUAUUUGGAUAUCAUUUUUUGUCGUUUUCUUGAUUGCGAAUAAAUAGGAUACGUAAUCUGCUAUACAAAUUCAUAUUCUUAAUUAUAACAUUGAGCUUGUAAAUAUUUAUAAAAGAUAAACCUCAAAUUUAUCAUAUAUUUUCUCAAAUGAUAGAUAUAAAAUUCGGAUACAAAUUUCGAUAUUUAUUCACAUUUUUUGUUGUUGUAGAGAACAAACAAUGCAUAAGACAAUUUAUACAAAAUGUUAUUCUUAUUUAUAAUAAUAUGCUGGAUAACAUAAGAAAAUACCAACAUCGAAUUUUAUGUAUAUCUACUUAAAAUAUUAAAUUUAUUUGAACAAUUUGGAUAUCCACUUUUAUCCCUAACGACAACGUAAAACAAAAAAACUAAGAUUGCAUUCAAACUAAUCUCCAUGUUGGAACGGGUUAUUGUAGAAAUUGAUUAAUUUUCAUGUCAAUCUAUCCCAAACCAUAUAGAUUAGGACAAAUACGAAUAUCAUAUGUGUAACUUGUUGCCCUCGACUCGUGAUACCCAAUAUUUCUAAACUUUAAUAUCUAUCCACAUUAUUGUGUAUCAGACCCGUUCAAACGUCGGAUUGAGUUCAGGUCGGGUAAGGUUGGAUUGUGGGCCAUUUACUACGGCCCGUACUCGACCUAUGACUAGCUAGUCUUGGGUCAGAUCGGGUUAGCUCGUGUCUUUCUGUUUGACGUUUCAAGCCAGGGUUUUUUCAGGUCUGCUUUUUGGCUUUUGGUCGGAUUUUUUUGAAUUGGGUUGGGGUUUGAGUCAAAAAAAACCACGGCCUAUACCAGCCUGUAAAUUAUUGCGGGUCAAAAUAUCCGUUGCAUUAAUCGGAUCGAGUCGGGUCGGAUGGGCUAUGAUGAGAUCUAAGAGGAUACAUCAAUACUACGGACUAUCUCUAAUAGUCACCGUAUGCAGAUAUGUAUUUUGAACAGUAUCAAUGGGAGCGUGUAAACGAGAGAGCGUUUUUUAGGAGAGCACGCAUGCAAAUAGAUUUGUGAAGAAGUGAGAAAUUGUAGAUUUGGGAUAUACGGAUGGUGAUGGCAUAUUAAUAAUGUUUGUUGGAGAUGCUCUAUCAGCUUAUAAAUAGACAGGGUGUCUGUUUAUACAGGAGUGCUAGUCUUCACGGCGGGGUUGUUGUCGCUUGUGGCCAGCCGCCAGCACCAGCACAAGGCGAUCGAGAGUGGUGACCACCAGUAAACUGCAAAGUGCAAACCAAACACCACCCACGAGAAAGCGGAGGAGGGAGCAAUGGCGGAGCCGAGCCAGCAGCUGCGGUCGUUCGUGGAGGUGCCGGCGGGCUCCCACUUCCCCAUCCAGAACCUGCCCUUCGGGGUCUUCCGCCGGCGGGGGGUGCAGGCGCAGGCGCCGCGCCCCGCGGUGGCCAUCGGGGACUUCGCGCUCGACCUCGCCGCCGUCGCCGACGCGGGGCUCUUCGACGGGCCCGCGCUCUCCGGCUCCCCGUGCUUCCACCAGGUGCCUGCUCUGCUCCUCAACCCUUUGAUUUGUUUUGAUUGCUCUGCAGUGACGGACGGACGGAUGGUAUGAGCUUGAUUUUAGCUUCUCCGACUCGUGAAUGGGUGUUGGUAUCGGUUGCAGCGUGGAAAUAGUUAAUUGAGGAUCUAAGGAAACUGGUCUGGUAGUGAGUAGUGACUAUAGAGUAGAAAAUAACUGGUGUCCUUGGUGCUGCAUGCAGGAGACGCUCAACAUGUUCUUGGGGAUGGGCCGGCCGGCGUGGAGGGAGGCGCGCGCCACGCUACAGAAAAUCCUAUCAGGUUCCGAGUCUUCUUCUGUUUAGCCACACAAUUAGGAAAAGUAUCAAUAUAAAGAAGAAGUAAGAACAAUGUGCUUGUUUUUUUUCAUUCUUUUUCUUUGUUGCUUUGCAGCCGACGAGCCCGUCUUGCGUGACAACGAAGCACUGAGGAACAAGUGUCUGGUACCAAUGGUGAGUUUUUUUUAGUCUGUCUUCCCGUCUCUUCUGAGGGUAAUAACAAAGGAUCAUUGACUAAAUCAUCGCCAAUGCUCUGCUUUGGCAAUGCAGAGUGAUAUAGAGAUGGUUCUACCAAUCACGGUUGGAGGUUACACGGACUUCUUUUGUUCUGUGCACCAUGCAAUGAAUUGUGGAUUCAUCUUCCGAGGGCCGCAGACUCCAGUCAAUCCAAAUUGGUAUGUGUUUUCUCGGAUAAUGUGCUUUGUUGGCAUUUAGGGGAGCAAAAGCAGUAUGUUAAUCAGUUGAGAUCAGAUCCUGUUGUCUGAAUAUUCUUGCUAAGUUACUGUAGUCAUGAGCUGGUUGUUAUGUUACUAUGCUCAAUCUUCAUGGUAAUGAUUAAAUAUCUCAAAUGCUUUGCUGCAUGCCAUUGUUUACUCUACUUUUGUUCUCGUUACUUCAUUGAUGUGACCCAGUUGUAACUAACUUACAAUGUACAUUUUGUCAAUUCAGGUUUUAUCUUCCAGUAGGAUACAAUGGGCGAGCAUCAUCUAUAGUUGUGUCUGGAACCAAUGUCAUUAGGCCCAGGUGUGCAUCCCAAAAUACUUGUUAAAACGAGUCUUAACUGUUGUUUCAAGCUUGAAACCUUUAUUUUGUGUGCUGCCUGUUGCUCUUUUGUUUAAUUAUUUCUCUAUUUUUAGGGGACAAGGACAUCCAACAGGAAACUCCGCUCCUUAUUUUGGUCCCUCGCAGAAGCUUGAUUUUGAGCUUGAGAUGGUUAGCUUCUUACUAACCCUAGACCCCAUGUACUUACUCUCUUUUGUGGUUGUAAUUGGCCUACCUACCUAAUUAAGCUGUCGAGUCACUUUCAGUAAUUGUUUUUUUCUCAUUAAGCGGUAAGGUCACUUUCAGCUAUUAUUAUUUUCCCCACACACUUUCAGUUAUCAUUGGUAUAUGAUUAUCAAUUAUGGGACUAGUAUAGGUAACUGUGGUUUAUUUCAGUGACAAUUUUCUUUAUUCACUGUAUUAUAUCAUAAUAAUUGCUGGCUUGUUGCUUUCAGGCUGCCAUUGUUGGUCCAGGGAAUGAAUUAGGCAAACCUAUUGAUAUUAAUGACGCCGAAGAACAUAUUUUUGGCCUAACUUUGAUGAAUGAUUGGAGUGGUAUUCUGUUCUUUUCAAUUUUCAGCUGUUUAAGAUUAACAUCCAUGAUGUGUUUAAUACUGAGUUGCAUGUAAUAUGCCAGCCAGAGAUAUCCAGGCUUGGGAGACUAUACCUCUUGGACCUUUCCUUGGGAAAAGCUUCAGUAAGACACUUGAUGCCCUUAAUGAAACUUUAGGUUUUCUAAACAAAUCUUAAGGGCCAUGCUUUAUAAACAAAAAAAGUUAGAAGUCCUGCAAGCUUAACAUAUGCACUUCCGUCAUUUUCCCUUUUGGGCUCCAUAUUUCAGUUGUGACCUGAAAAUGUACUGUGCUUCUACAAUUUCUCUAGGUACCACGGUAUCACCAUGGAUUGUUACCCUAGAUGCUUUGAAGCCUUUCAUGUGUGAUGCUCCUAAGCAGGUGAGGAAACAUUCUUUAAGAUUUAUCGUUGGAAUAAUCAGUUAAUCACUAGCGCUUAGUUAACACCGGUCAGUUUGGUUAGUUUUUCUAAUCAGCAUUUUAUAGAACUUCGAUCCAUGGUGACCUAAUUCUCCUUGCAUUACAGGAACCCGAGCCUUUACCGUACUUAGCCGAAAAGAAUCACAUAAAUUAUGACAUUCCUCUUGAAGUAUGACAUUGCUACCUUGCAGCUUCUUCUUCGCUAUUAUUUAUGUCAUAAAAAGAGAUCUAACUGGGACACUUUUUUUCUCCUUUGAAAGGCCUGGAUUAAGCCGAAAGAUCAAAAUGACGCAUCAAUUGUCACAAAAACUAAUUUCAAGCAUCUGUAAGCACACUGCAUAUUCGUUUUUUUUUCACUUUAAAUACUAACGUGUGCUCCUGCACCGUUCGAGAAAAAGAAAUACUAAUGUGUGUUAAUAGGAUCCCAACUAUUCAACCAUAUAAUGUUUUGCCAUAGCACAUAACAGUGCUGGCACAUUUCUUGUAACCAAUUUUUGCACAGGUAUUGGACGCUGACACAGCAGCUAGCACACCACACCAUCAACGGAUGCAACAUGAGGCCGGGGGAUAUAUUUGCGACUGGCACACUGAGUGGACCUGUAUGGAGUAAACAUUGCAACUUCUAUACCCAUAGUAUGAAUCUUACUUUGACAUGUGCCAUUUCAGGAACCGGACUCCCUCGGGUGUCUGCUGGAGCUGACAUGGAACGGGCAGAAGGAGAUACCGGUGGGGAAUUUGACCCGCAAGUUCCUAGAAGAUGGAGAUGAAGUCAUCUUGACAGGAUGUUGCAAGGUACUGUGAGUUCGUCUUUCCUGAUCAAUUCAGAUCUAGGCCUCUACAGUGACGCUAGGCUGUAUUUUGAUUCCACCAUCCGCUGGUUCUUCAGGGUGAAGGCUACAACAUUGGUUUUGGAACCUGCACCGGGAAGGUUCUGCCGGCACUUCCCUGAGCCAACACGUCUUGGCAUCAGUUCUCCGGAGUCUCAACGAUCUCAGCUAUCAGAGAGUUGUCUCAACGGUCUCAACUAUCAAAGAGUUCAUGCCGCUAUCUAGCAAGGCUGCUAUGUAACUGAACAAUAUGAAUAUGGGUUGUUUUCCUGGGCUGUUGAAGAUGAGGAGACUGAUGCUCUGUUGUGCAAUAAAACCGCUUCACCAUUUUAUACGAUGUCUCCCUCUAUUUAAGAGUUGGGUUGUGUUCUUAAACUUGUACAUUGCAAUGUCCUCUGUGGCAUGAAAUUUAGAUCAUGUAUAUAUUUUGAAUGGAAUUAUAGAUCCACACUAGUAGAAUGAAUAAGAAAGUUCGCAGAUUGCCAGAGGCCUAAAAAAAGACUGGCGAGAGUGAGAAAGAGAGAGGUGACGAAGAGUGAGUGAUGGAUGCAAGUAGGUUCAGACGCAGGCGAGCUCCUUCGCCAUGCCAAUGGACUUGCCGAUGGCGUUCUUGCAGACGGACAUGGUCUUGUUGUCGGACCUGUUGUACUUGAUGUCGACGUUGAUGAGCUGCACGCCCUGGCAGGGCAGGUUGUUGGCGCAGUUGAGCGUGAUGGCCUCCGGCGUGUUGGAGGUGCCGUGGAUGUUCUUGAAGACGACGUCGUUGACGGCCACCUUGGAGGCGCCGGACUUGACGCAGAUGUUGUUGGGGCAGUACUUCUGGUCUAUGAUGAUGGGGUAGGAGACGUUGUCCAUGGUGACGUCCUGGUACAGGAACUUGGUGGCCUUGAGCGACGACUUGGAGUCCUCGUACGACUUGAUGCGCAGGCCGUUGGUGGUGCCGGCGAGCGUGCACCCCGUCACCUUCACGUCCUCCACGUCCUUCUCGUCCUUGUACCGCCCCAGGCUGCCGACGCUGAUGCCGUGGCCCGGGCCGCACUUGACGCCCUUCACGCGGAUGGUCUUGCUCCCGGGGCCGAUGGAGACGCAGUCGUCGCCGACGGCGAUGGUGGUGCCGCUGAUGGUCACGUUGCUCGAGUCGCCGAUGUGGAUGCCGUCCGUGUUGGGGCUGUUGCCGGGGGCCUUGAUCGUCACCUUGUCGAUCACCACGUUCUUGCUCCCGAAGAUGUUCAUGUGGAAGAACUUGCUGUUCAGCAGCGUGAUGCCGCGGAUCUGGGCGUUCGUCACGAAGUCCAGCACCAGGCUCUGCACGCGUUCGCCGUUGCGAUUUACAUCACAUCACCUUCCGAAGCAGGGGACAGACAGAGAAAGAAGAAGCACGUACGUUGGGGAGGAUUUUGCAGUUGUAGGAACGCUGGCACUCGUUCUUGUUCCACACCAGGGCUCCCUGCCCGUCGAUGGUGCCGUGGCCGUUGAUGGACAGGUUGUCGACGUUCUGGAUCUCGAUCCAGUUCCUCUUGUACGCGUUGAGGUCGCCGGUGCC
rnacentral:lncRNA from 1 species